rnacentral:lncRNA from 1 species
ACUGUUAAGCCAGACAUUAUGGUGAAUAGUUUUCAUGGAAGGCAUCUCUUUGCCAGAACGCGGUCGAGUCCUGAGCUUACUGAGACAUGUGGUGAAGCUCUUUUGCAACCAAGGCGCAGUAGAGCCCCAGAAGCUGGAAAACGCCAACCUAAUUCUAUGAGGGCUGAAAAUAUCAGGAAAACUAAUAUGGAGUCUGAAAGUUUGUCAAGCAAUAUCAGAUAUGCGGCUGACUCAUCGUCAGUUAGGCAUACACCAUCCCCGCGAAGUCCUGAUAGUACUGCUGACAUGAGCAGCGCAGUGAACAGUUAUUAUGAUGAUUUAGGUUCGGUUUCCGUGAAUGAAGAUUUUUCUGCCGCAGGGGAACAUGGAAUGCAACAGGAAGAGCAAGAUCUUGUUAACUCGAUGGCAUCUUUUACCCGGGAAGGUUUUAAUGGACACUUUCCUUUUCCUUUUAAUUUUCCUACGGGCCACAUGCCUCUGCAAAUUACACCAGCCAUGUUAGCUUCAAUGGGAUAUGGUCAGAGGAAUGUGCCUGGUAUUGUUCCUUCUAACUUUCCUUUCAUGGAGACACCUUGGAGUACUAAUGUACAAUUUCAGCAAAACUUUGCUUCUUCACCAUUUACCCAUUAUCUUCCUAGUGGAUCCGAUCCAAUCUCAGAAAAGCUGAGCAAAGCUGGUAAUGAGGAUAUGGGGUCUCCACAAGUGAAUGUUGACGAGUCUGGCCAUGAGCACUGGCACGAGCAAGAACGCGGAACUCGUAGUUGUAGACUUGAAAAUGGUCAUGAUGGAAUGCAUCAGGCAAACGAUAAACAUUAUUCAUCUUCUGCAGAGCACGUUACUGUACCCUCAAGUCGUAAAAUACGGUCAACAAGGGGAGAUGAUUUAGAAAAUUCCCACUCUCCAGUCAGAGGAAGUCAGAUUCAGAGUGAGGAGAGAAAUGCAGGCUCUAGAUCUGUUUCUUGUGCUAGUUCCGUUAGAAGUAGGACUUCAUCUGAAAGCUCUUGGGAUGGAUCAACUACAAGGGGCUCAAAGCCAGCUAGGGAUAAACGGAAUAGGAAAGUAGCUUCUGGGGCUGUGCCUGCACUGUAUGGAAAAGGGAAGAGUGUUCCUGAGCACUCAAUCCAGGUUGAAGAUGAUAACAGAGAAUGGAUUCCUGUAUCUAGCAAUGAAGCAAUCGGAAGGGAUUUUGGCCCUCGGCCACCUGUUGCUUCAUUUCAACUUCAGAGGCAUCAAAUACAUGGUCAUGAAUUAGCUCAGGCAAGUGGAUCAGAGUCCACAGUGCCUCUUGCUCCAUUUAUCCUUGGCCAUGGCAUGCAACAAAACGAAGCUGAUAGUUCCGGAUAUACUUUUUACCCCACUGGACCACCUGUUCCAUUCUUUACAAUGGUUCCAAUGUACAACUAUCAAGCUGGUGGUAAUGCUACAUCAGAUGCUUCGGCAAGCCAUCUCAGUGUGGAUGAAGGAGUAGAUAAUCAUGAUUCCUGUAAAAGUUUUGACUCGUCAAAGGGAGACCAGUCUGAUUUAAAUGUGUCUUCGCAAUCUACCAGAGCUGGGUCGUCUGUAGAACCAACAGAGCUCAAGAAUGAUAUUCUCAAUGGAGAUUUUGACAACCAUUGGCAAAAUUUGCAGUAUGGCCGUUAUUGCCAAAAUUCUCAACAUCCGCCGGUGUUGUAUCCUGCUCCCGUCGUAGUGCCACCUACUUAUCUCCAGGGGCGUUUACCAUGGGAUGGCCCUGGAAGACCUCUUGCUUACACCAAUGUAGUUAAUCAGCUCAUGGCCUACGGACCUCGUAUUCUACCCGUUGCCCCUGUACAACCUGUUUCUACCAGGCCACCUAACAUUUACCCUCGUUAUGCUAAUGAAGCUCCCAGAUACCGAAGUGGGACGGGGACCUAUUUUCCAAAUCCUGUAAGAACUGAAUCCCUUCCUUAAUACUUGUGUGCAUGCUUUCCAAAUCCUGUGAUGUGUAGGUUGUUCCCUAUCCAUAGGUUUUGUGAGAUUUCUACAAACUUACAAACUUGAGCUACUUCGUAAGGCAUGAAAGAUGAGCUUUUGUGUUGUUUUCUUAUUGAUAAAAUGUUUGAUAGUCUUGUGGCGUAUGGGUCUUGAAUGAAUUAACAGUAUGAUUUGUCUGCUUAAUCUACUUGCAUGUUUUGGGAGGUUUUGGGCAUGUUUCAGGCUAUGAUUUUGGUUCUUGUUCGUUUGCUCUUUAUCCAACCCUGCUUGUUAUAUGCUAUCUCCUCCUUUACUGAUUAUUUAUUAUCUUUUGUUUGUUAGUAUCUUUAGAUAUAAAACUCAUGACGGUUUUGUUUUGUCAAACUGCUCUAAACUUGUGUUGAAUUGGUUGCAGAAGAUUUCCCCUAGGGAGCAGCGGCCGACAUCCGGCGUGAGGCGAGGGAAUUAUGGGCAUGACAGAAACGAGCACCACAGCGAUAGAGAAGGGAAUUGGAAUAACUCAAAGGCACGGGGUUCUGGGCGAGGCCACAGCAAUCGUAACCAAGCUGAUAAUAAAAAAAGAAGUAGAGAAGAGGAGAAAGAAGAACUUGCCGGGUAAGAAAGAAGACGGUCACGCAUCAUACGGUCGAGAGAGGCAAGGAUGACUGAUGAAGGUGAGGAGACAGCUGUGAACACACGAGCAUUAUGCUCUUUCCACAACAGGUAGAUGGCUGACUAAAAGUAGAGCUUGAUGACUGGAGUAACAUGCGCAUCUGCGUUGACGCGAAGUUGAUUGAUCCAGGCUGCAAUAGAGUGUAGAUCAGCCAGAGGAGAAAUCCAAACUUCAGCAGCAAAAGGCUCCCAUAUCAAGCGAGAGAAAGAGCACUCAAAGAAGAGAUGAUGGUGAGUCUCUAUUUCCAGAUUACAAAGGACGCACGUUCCUGAGACAUUAACCUCCAACGCCUCAAGCGAUAAAAAAAAAAAAAAAAAAAAAAAAAAAAAAGCUCAAGCGAUCAUUGGUUGGCAGUCUUCUUCGCAAAGCCAGCCAUGAUAUAAACGCAUUACGUAGAAUAUGUUCCUUGAACCAAAUAGUCUUGUGCCAAUAUUUGUUGUUGAUAGUGUUUAUAUUCUUUGCUGACAUUAGUAUAUAUAUUUUUUAGUAAACUGAUCCAAAGAGAUUAGUUUGUGGAGCUAACCAAAGGAGGAUUAUAGUGUUUACUUUGAAAAAAGUAAUAGGUUGAAUGAUAAAUGGCGUGCGUGCUUUUUCACAUCGAAAUUUGCACAUAUAUUAAAAUUGUAAGAUUUAAAUCACAGAAAAAAUAUAGUGUAUAUGACUGAUGUUGGUCCAUUCCAAAACUAAAGAUGGCUAAAAUUCUUCUUUGUCAAAAUGCAUAGAUGUGAAUCUUAUAUGAAUAGAGUUUUCUAUUGCUUAUAGCAGUGUAAUAAACUCCGUGUGUAAAGGAGAAGAAAUGUUAUAUAAGUGAAAACAAAAAUUAUGAUUUUUUUUUGUGUCUAUAGGCUCUUCGCAAUUUGUAGAAGAAAGAACAUAUUGUGUGAAAAUCUUUGGCUCGGUCAAAUUUUAUCCAGUUGUUUAUAAAACUGUUGUUAUUUGAUUCAUGUAAUUUUUCAGUGUUGAUUUAAAAGCCCAAAAAACCCAUCUAUACUAACUUUCUGAUAUUUUUUCUGUGAUUAGAAUUUAAAAAGAGAUAAAACUUUCGAUAAGUUAUGUAAACUCAGAACAAAUAUUUAGUUUUAGAAAGCAUUUACAUGUUUCAAACUUAUAAUAUAUACAUAUAUAAUAUUUAAAAUUAUGCAUAUAAAACCUGUGUAAAAUGUGUCUGAAUAUGUUUCUCUUCUUUAAUGUGUUAAUUGUACUAUAUAUAAUAUUAUUUUAAAAUUUCAAAAAGUUUAUGUCACAUACAAAAAACCAUUAAUAAAAAAUAUAAUUCUCCAUCUACAACAAGAAAAAUGAAAAAUUAUAAAUAUAUAAAUUUAAAUUAAGAAAAACUAACAUUGGAAAAACAAGAAGUUAAUGUAAAAGAAAAAAAUCGACAAAUAAUAUUAUAAAUAAAAUAAAUUUAUAAGACAUAAUCCGCGCGAAGCGCGGAAAAGAUCUCUAGUUACUAAUAAUGAAAACAAAAAUUUAUAAUUGUGUGUGUAAAGUAAACUCUACAAUGAUAAUUAGCACAAUUAAUACAGACAUUAAAUGUUUUUAUUUUAAUUUGAAAAGUACGGAAACACCCCCGCCUAUCCUCGUCACCAAACACUCCCACUUUUGCCUCGUCCUCCCAGAAACAAAGAGAUAGUAGAGAGAAUAGAGAAGAAGAUAACAAAAACCUAAUAGAUGAGCAGCGAUUAGAGAGUCCGUGAGUGUAAGCAACCUUUUUGGAUGAAUCUCGCAUUUGCCCUCUCGAUUCGUCGAUACUGCUAGAUUUUCUCUGGAUCAAUCCUACGGUUCUUAUUCAUUUCCGCUCCUUUCUGUUUUUAGAAUCUUCCUCCCUCCCUAGGGUUUUCCUUCUUCCUCCUUAUCCGAUUUGCGAUUGGAGACUGAAUCGAUUUAGAUUCUUACUGUUUGGUAGAUAAUCUGGGCAGAUCGAAGGUUAAUCGGCGGAAGAGACAAUCUAAUGCUUGCUUGACAGUAACCGUAACGGUUGGGUAGAUAAGAGUCUUUGAUUGGAUUAGAAGGUGAAGUUCGGGAGAGAUUUGCAUGGGUGAGAAUGAAUCAUGGGCGGCGGCUUCUCCGCCGUCGUCGCCUAGUGGCUUGUUUCCGAACGGGCUGUUGCCGGGGAUGUCUGAAUCUGUGACACGGCCUCUCGAUGCGGAAAGGUGGGCCGUUGCGGAGGAAAGAACCGCUGAGCUCAUUUCUCAUAUACAGCCGAAUCCGCCUUCGGAAGAUCGCCGGAAUGCUGUUGCUAGAUACGUGCGGAGGCUUAUCAUGGAAUGCUUCCCUCUUCAGGUUGAGGUGGGUUUCCUUUUGUGGAUGUGGUUGGUGUGACUGUUUGUUUGCUGUUUGCUCCUGUUAUUAUCCAGAUAAAGCUUGGAGAUUUGUAGUGUGUUUUUAAUUCAUAUAUGAUAUUUGACUUUGUGUAUCACUUUUCAUUUUCUACCAGAUCUUUACUUUUGGAUCUGUGCCACUAAAGACUUACUUGCCCGAUGGAGACAUCGACUUAACGGCCUUCAGCACUAACCAGAAUCUGAAGGAUUCUUGGGCUAAUUUGGUUCGUGAUAUGCUGGAAAAGGAAGAGAAGAAUGAGAAUGCUGAGUUUCAUGUCAAAGAAGUCCAGUAUAUUCAGGCAGAAGUAUGCCCCCCUUUAUCCUAAUGAUAUUGCUUCCCCCUGGGUUUGGUCUAUGUCUCCAUGUUAGACUGUUUGUUAAGGUUUUGCGGGUACAAUGUUUCAGGUGAAGUUAAUUAAGUGCCUGGUGGAGAACAUUGUGGUGGAUAUAUCUUUCAACCAGAUUGGAGGGCUGUGUACGCUAUGCUUCCUUGACCAGGUCAACCAUAGAGAACAUUCCACUUGCUUUCUCUUUCUGAAUUUGGCUUGAUUUUUAAUUUCUAUAUCUUUAUGUUUUUAUCUAUGCAGGUUGAUCAGUUUAUAAACCAGAACCAUUUAUUCAAGCGUAGUAUCAUAUUGAUUAAAGCCUGGUGUUAUUACGAGAGCCGUAUAUUGGGAGCUCACCAUGGGCUUAUUUCAACAUAUGCCCUGGAAACCUUGGUUCUUUACAUAUUUCAUGUUUUCAACAACUCAUUUUCUGGACCCCUCGAGGUAGUGACAUUACCAAACUGUCUUUAUUCUGUCAGGAAUGGUUUCGUCAAAUCGCCUGACUUGAUUGCUUGCAUUUGUAGGUUCUCUAUCGUUUUCUUGAGUUCUUUAGUAAGUUUGACUGGCAGAAUUUUUGUAUUAGCCUAUGGGGCCCUGUUCCAGUUAGUUCACUACCAGAUGUAACAGGUAUUUACAAAUGCUGUCUACCUCACCUUUGCUUUAGUUGUGCAUCUAACUGUCUAUAGUACUGAUUAUGUUGCUAUGCAAUUUUGCAGCGGAACCUCCUCGAAAAGAUGUUGGAGAGUUACGACGUAACGAAGCGUUUCUCAAAUAUUGUAGUAGAGUUUAUGCAGUUAACCCUGUUGCUCAGGAGACACAGGGGCAGCCUUUUCUUUCCAAGCAUUUCAAUGUCAUAGACCCUUUGCGUGAAAACAACAACCUUGGACGCAGUGUUAGUAAAGGUGCUGCCUAUUUCAGAUUUUAUUUAUUAUUUAUUUAUCAAAUAUCAAGCUAGAUGAUGCACAAACAUGUUGGUUUAUUUACAUGCUUGGAUUUUGGUUUUGUUGUUGAAUUGUUGUGUCAGGUAACUUCUUUAGGAUACGAAGUGCAUUUACUCUUGGUGCUAAGAAGUUGGCUAGGUUACUUGAAUGCCCUAAGGAGAAUUUGAUUCAUGAGGUUAACCAAUUCUUUAUGAAUACAUGGGAUAGACAUGGCAGCGGUCGUCGUCCUGAUGCUCCUGGAAAUGACCUAUGGCUAUCAAGAAGACUGGGAGAUCCUGAGCCUUGUCUUCAAGCUGAAAAUGCUAGUAGUUCUUCAAGCAGCAAAAGAAACCAAAAUUCCAUCCGUUCUGGUGAGGUUCAAGGAGCUCGCAGUAUGCCCUCUCAACAGAAUAACUGUGGAACAGAAAUUACAUCUAAAGCAACAUAUCAAAACCCAAAGAGUUGUGGUAACGCUUACCAACUUGCUCAAGAAGCUCGUUCUAAUCAAAAUGCUUCAAAUGAUAAACUUCAGCAAACUGUUAAGCCAGACAUUAUGGUGAAUAGUUUUCAGGGAAGGCAUCUCUUUGCCAGAACGCGGUCGAGUCCUGAGCUUACUGAGACAUGUGGUGAAGCUCUUUUGCAACCAAGGCGCAGUAGAGCCCCAGAAGCUGGAAAACGCCAACCUAAUUCUAUGAGGGCUGAAAAUAUCAGGAAAACUAAUAUGGAGUCUGAAAGUUUGUCAAGCAAUAUCAGAUAUGCGGCUGACUCAUCGUCAGUUAGGCAUACACCAUCCCCGCGAAGUCCUGAUAGUACUGCUGACAUGAGCAGCG